rnacentral:rRNA from 1 species
GCCAAAUCGGAGCUACCAUGCAAGCCGAGCGGUAGAGUAUCUUCGGAUACUUGAGAGCGGCGUACGGGUGCGGAACACGUGUGCAACCUGCCUUUAUCUGAGGGAUAGCCUUUCGAAAGGAAGAUUAAUACCUCAUAAUAUACUGAUUGGCAUCAAUUAGUAUUGAAAGCUCCGGCGGAUAGAGAUGGGCACGCGCAAGAUUAGAUAGUUGGUGAGGUAACGGCUCACCAAGUCAAUGAUCUUUAGGGGGCCUGAGAGGGUGAUCCCCCACACUGGUACUGAGACACGGACCAGACUCCUACGGGAGGCAGCAGUGAGGAAUAUUGGACAAUGGGUGCAAGCCUGAUCCAGCCAUCCCGCGUGAAGGACGACGGCCCUAUGGGUUGUAAACUUCUUUUGUGCAGGGAUAAACCUACUCUCGUGAGGGUAGCUGAAGGUACUGUACGAAUAAGCACCGGCUAACUCCGUGCCAGCAGCCGCGGUAAUACGGAGGGUGCAAGCGUUAUCCGGAUUUAUUGGGUUUAAAGGGUCCGCAGGCGGGCUAGUAAGUCAGUGGUGAAAGCCUACAGCUUAACUGUAGAACUGCCGUUGAUACUGCUAGUCUUGAGUAUAGUUGAGGUAGCUGGAAUGAGUAGUGUAGCGGUGAAAUGCAUAGAUAUUACUCAGAACACCGAUUGCGAAGGCAGGUUACCAAGUUAUAACUGACGCUGAGGGACGAAAGCGGGGA